rnacentral:rRNA from 1 species
GGGAGCUUGCUCCCUGAUUCAGCGGCGGACGGGUGAGUAAUGCCUAGGAAUCUGCCUGGUAGUGGGGGACAACGUCUCGAAAGGGACGCUAAUACCGCAUACGUCCUACGGGAGAAAGCAGGGGACCUUCGGGCCUUGCGCUAUCAGAUGAGCCUAGGUCGGAUUAGCUAGUUGGUGAGGUAAUGGCUCACCAAGGCUGCGAUCCGUAACUGGUCUGAGAGGAUGAUCAGUCACACUGGAACUGAGACACGGUCCAGACUCCUACGGGAGGCAGCAGUGGGGAAUAUUGGACAAUGGGCGAAAGCCUGAUCCAGCCAUGCCGCGUGUGUGAAGAAGGUCUUCGGAUUGUAAAGCACUUUAAGUUGGGAGGAAGGGCAGUAAGUUAAUACCUUGCUGUUUUGACGUUACCGACAGAAUAAGCACCGGCUAACUUCGUGCCAGCAGCCGCGGUAAUACGAAGGGUGCAAGCGUUAAUCGGAAUUACUGGGCGUAAAGCGCGCGUAGGUGGUUUGUUAAGUUGGAAGUGAAAGCCCCGGGCUCAACCUGGGAACUGCUUUCAAAACUGGCAAGCUAGAGUAUGGCAGAGGGUGGUGGAAUUUCCUGUGUAGCGGUGAAAUGCGUAGAUAUAGGAAGGAACACCAGUGGCGAAGGCGACCACCUGGGCUAAUACUGACACUGAGGUGCGAAAGCGUGGGGAGCAAACAGGAUUAGAUACCCUGGUAGUCCACGCCGUAAACGAUGUCGACUAGCCGUUGGGCUCCUUGAGAGCUUAGUGGCGCAGCUAACGCAUUAAGUCGACCGCCUGGGGGAGUACGGCCGCAAGGUUAAAACUCAA